AGGAAAAGUUGAAUGAGCCAAAACCGGGUUCGCUCGGUAGAUAGAGCAUCAGCCUGUGGACUGAAAGGUCCCAGGUUCGAUUCCGGUCAAGGGCAUGUACCUUGGUUGCGGCCACAUCCCCAGUAAGAGGUGUGCAGGAGGCAGUUGAUUG